AAGGAGUCUAACAUACCUGCGAGUGUUUGGGUGUCAAACCCAAGCGCGUAAUGAAAGUGAACGCAGGAGGGAUCCGCAAGGAGCACCUUUGACCGAUCUGGAUCUUCUGUGAUGGAUUUGAGUAAGAGCAUGUAUGCUGGGACCCGAAAGAUGGUGAACUAUGCCUGAAUAGGGCGAAGCCAGGGGAAACUCUGGUGGAGGCUCGUAGCGAUUCUGACGUGCAAAUCGAUCGUCAAAUUUGGGUAUAGGGGCGAAAGACUAAUCGAACCAUCUAGUAGCUGGUUCCUGC
rnacentral:misc_RNA from 1 species